rnacentral:lncRNA from 1 species
UGAGUCAGCUCCAUCUCUUGAGUUAACUCCCAUUUCUAAAAGUAGUGUAACAGUGUCUUCAAAUACCUCUUAAAACUGCAGUCUUUGCCAAUGACCCUACACCACGGAUUCCCAUGAAACACCGGAGCACCUAUCUGUUUCAUUCCCUGACAGGCCACAAUGGAUUGGCAGCCUUAUUUCUUCUGAGAAGCACAAAAGCCACAUUGGCUCAAAACAGCUUUUGGUUUUCUGACCCCUAUGGUACCCACUGGGUUUGCUUCACUGGUCAGCAAUUGACAGUUAGACUCAUUUGAGCCUUCAUCCAGCAGCUGAUGGAAGUUGAAGCAGAUACCCACAGCUAAACCUGAACUGAACUGGAAUCCAGUUGAAGAGAAGGAGGAGUGAGAGCAAAGAGUCAAGACCAGGCUGUUGAAACCCACAGAAAUACCGGACCUUAAUAAGGGAGAGAACUUGGCCCCCAGACUGAUCACUGGGAAACCAGCUUUGAACUCAUCCAGAUCCCAUGAAUAGCCUUCAUCCAGCAGCUGAUGGAAGUUGAAGCAGAUACCCACAGCUAAACCUGAACUGAACUGGAAUCCAGUUGAAGAGAAGGAGGAGUGAGAGCAAAGAGUCAAGACCAGGCUGUUGAAACCCACAGAAAUACCGGACCUUAAUAAGGGAGAGAACUUGGCCCCCAGACUGAUCACUGGGAAACCAGCUUUGAACUCAUCCAGAUCCCAUGAAUGUAGG